AUGGUGCUGGAGAUGAGGGCGGAUCGGCGACCACGGAUGAAGGUGGCUGCCAAGUUGCGGGGGAACGUUUGUAGGACGGCGAGUACCGCGCACCUCAUCGACAACGGUGGAGAGUUAAUGGUGGUGCACCGCAUGCUUUCUCGUUCACACAACUCAAGGUACAAAGUGUAUCGACUGGAUUUGGAUAACAAGAGACUACUCCAGGUCAAGACCUUGAGCGAGCGGGCGCUGUUCUUGGGGAUGCAUUACUCUUUCUCGGUGUGCACGAGGGUUUUCCCCUCCAUUUGUGGUGACACUAUCUAUUUUAGCUUUGAUCUUCAGGAUAGAUUUGAUGAGCACAUUGAGGCCUACUAUCUCACCGACAAAAAGCAACAAGCCGGCAAACUACAUCUUAAACAGCACUUUGUGCAGAGUCGUGCCAUCGCCAUAUAG
rnacentral:rRNA from 1 species